GGCGGACGGGUGAGUAACGCGUGGGAACGUGCCCUUCUCUAUGGAAUAGCCACUGGAAACGGUGAGUAAUACCAUAUACGCCCUUCGGGGGAAAGGAUUUAUCGGAGAAGGAUCGGCCCGCGUUAGAUUAGGUAGUUGGUGGGGUAAUGGCCUACCAAGCCUACGAUCUAUAGCUGGUUUUAGAGGAUGAUCAGCCACACUGGGACUGAGACACGGCCCAGACUCCUACGGGAGGCAGCAGUGGGGAAUCUUAGACAAUGGGCGCAAGCCUGAUCUAGCCAUGCCGCGUGAGUGAUGAAGGCCUUAGGGUCGUGAAGCUCUUUCGCCAGAGAUGAUAAUGACAGUAUCUGGUAAAGAAACCCCGGCUAACUCCGUGCCAGCAGCCGCGGUAAUACGGAGGGGGUUAGCGUUGUUCGGAAUUACUGGGCGUAAAGCGCAC
rnacentral:rRNA from 1 species